rnacentral:snRNA from 1 species
CUGCUUUGGCAGCACAUACACCAAAACUUAAAGGAUACAGAUAUUAGCAUGGUCCCUUUGCAAGGACACACACAUCUGCGAAGUGCUCCACAUUAAA